UGGCCACCUUCAAAAAUAAGCUCGACCGUCACUUCCUUCAACUUAAUAUCAACUAGAGUAGAAAUGCAACGUUUUGGAGCCUUCUGAUUAAUGUAAAAUCACUUAGGUUUAAGGACAGACCACCUAGUCUGGACCAUGGGGUCUGUGUGGUCUGAUUUUCUAUGGAAAUCUAUGUAAAUUGAUUCUUUCUUGGGAGUAGCAAUUAGCGGGCUUUUUUUGUUGCUGUUGUUUGUGCCCUUGAGCUGCCUCCUUUGUUGUAAAAAAAAAAAAAAAAGUACUGGCGGGUGUGUCCUGGCCUGUGUGUGCCGCCGCGUACUUAAGUAACUUUAUUUCAGGUUAGAAAAUAACAUAACACUGAAAAGGAAGGUGUGUGGAUAAUGGAGGAACGAGAGGAGGAGGACAUUAGAAGCGAUACAAAGCGUUACAGGUCAAAAGACUCCUCCUGACCUUGACCUUGCUUUUGGCCACCUCUUCUGGUUCUUUCAUGGGGGGAGUAGGGAUUAGCGGGCUUUUUUUGUUGUUUUUAUUGUUUUUUGUGCCCUUGAGCUGCCUCCUUUGUUGUAAAAAAAAAAAAAAAAAAAGUACUGGCGGGUGUGUCCUGGCCUGUGUGUGCCGCCGUGUACUUAAGUAACUUUAUUUCAGGUUAGAAAAUAACAUAACACUGAAAAGGAAGGUGUGUGGAUAAUGGAGGAACGCGAGGAGGAGGACAUUAGAAGCGAUACAAAGCGUUACAGGUCAAAAGAAGGACUGGCGGGUGUGUCCUGGCCUGUGGUGGAAGUUAUUGUGGAAGAGGCGUGGCAUAGCAGACUGGAGGAGGAAGGUUACACAAAGUUAGGUUUCGUUAGCUUAAGUUUAUUUGGCAGGCAGUGCAGGGGAUAGGCAUAACUCGAAAAGUAGAUAUUUGCGAUGGAAAUGAGGUACAAAAUCAUUCAAUUCACUAAAUCUAUCACCAGAAAAACAUGAACCAAGUCAGAAAAUCGUUGGUUGGGUGAAACGGUAAAUUGUCCAACAUUGAUUUGGUCUGUUUUGUUCCAGUUUGUCCACUUGUGAUCUUUGUGACUGGUACAAAAUCGUUCAGUUCACUAAAUCUAUCACCAGAAAAACAUGAACCACGUGAGAAAAUCGUUGGUUGGGGGAAACUGUAAAUUGUCCAACAUUAGUUUGCUCUGUUUUGUUCCAGUUUGUCCACUUGUGAUCUUUGUGACUGGUACAAAAUCGUGCAGUUCACUAAAUCUAUCACCAGAAAAACAUGAACCAAGUCAGGAAAUCGUUGGUUGGGUGAAACUGUAAAUUGUCCAACAUUGAUUUGCCCUGUUUUGUUCCAGUUUGUCCACUUGUGAUCUUUGUGACUGGUACAAAAUCGUGCAGUUCACUAAAUCUAUCACCAGAAAAACAUGAACAAAGUCAGAAAAUCGUUGGUUGGGUGAAACGGUAAAUUGUCCAACAUUGAUUUGCUCUGUUUUGUUCCAGUUUGUCCACUUGUGAUCUUUGCGACGUACAAAAUCGUGCAGUUCACUAAAUCUAUCACCAGAAAAACAUGAACCAAGUCAGAAAAUCGUUGGUUGGGGGAAACUGUAAAUUGUCCAACAUUGAUUUGCCCUGUUUUGUUCCAGUUUGUCCACUUGUGAUCUUUGCGACGUACAAAAUCAUGCAGUUCACUAAAUCUAUCACCAGUAAAACAUGAACAAAGUCAGAAAAUCGUUGGUUGGGUGAAACGGUAAAUUGUCCAACAUUGAUUUGCCCUGUUUUGUUCCAGUUUGUCCACUUGUGAUCUUUGUGACUGGUACAAAAUCGUGCAGUUCACUAAAUCUAUCACCAGAAAAACAUGAACAAAGUCAGAAAAUCGUUGGUUGGGUGAAACUGUAAAUUGUCCAACAUUAGUUUUGCCCUGUUUUGUUCCAGUUUGUCCACUUGUGAUCUUUGUGACUGGUACAAAAUCGUGCAGUUCACUAAAUCUAUCACCAGAAAAACAUGAACCAAGUCAGAAAAUCGUUGGUUGGGUGAAACGGUAAAUUGUCCAACAUUAGUUUGCUCUGUUUUGUUCCAGUUUGUCCACUUGUGAUCUUUGUGACCAAUGAGUAAAAUAUAGAAACAGUAAGCAAGUUGAAACUCUAUGUGGGAUAUAUAUUUUGCAGCUGCGUCGGCGGGUGAACAACAGGCAUUAAAAAGUUACUUGUUUAUUAAUUUCCGGAGAAAAUACAACCUCCAUGAUAAACAGCAUCACAUUUUGUCCAAAGAUAAGCAUCAGCAUCUCAUAAUUUGCAGGCUACCCUUUCAUGAAUAAUCCAGGCUUUUCAGGAAUUUUCAGAUUUUUCACACUUUAUAUAUUUGAAUUAUUAAAAAAACAAAUUUAGUUAAUAUACCGUCUAUUACUUCAAAGUAUUAAACAACAAAAAAAAUAUUUCCCAACAGGUUAGGCCGAGUUUAAGGAACUUUCAAACUCGUGAUAUCCAGACACCUACCGCAUAAAUUAACAAAGAAAGCCCCACUGUGUUAUAUGGAAGAAUAUGUGAUUUUCUGAGCCAAGCCGUAUGAUAACUUUUUUGUGGUAUUUUGUUAGGUUAGGUUAGGUUAAGUUUAGGGCAUCUUCAAACAUAUGAUAGCCAGCACCUUAUGUUAUAUAUAUCAACAAAGAAUGACCUCACUUUGUUGUAUAGAAAAUUUCAUCAGUAAGGAAGCAUAUAUGAAUUUUCUGAGUCAAGACCUAUAGUAACCAUUUUUGGGUUUUGUUAAGUUAGGUUAGGGUAUCUUCAAACACAUGAUAGCCAGCAAGCCAGCACCUUAUGGUAUAAAUCAACACAGAAUGACCUCACUUUUUUAUAGAAAGUCUCAUUAGUAAGAAAGCAUAUCCAUUUUCUGAGUCAAGGCCUAUAAUGUUUGUUUUGUUUUUGUUAUGUUGGGUUAAAUUUAGGGCGACAGAGAACCAGGUGGAGAGGUGGAAUUAGAACCUUUACCGGGGCAGGAUGGAGUACACUAACACCAGACAGAGGACCAGGUGGAGAGGUGGAAUUAGAACCUUUACCGGGGCAGGAUGGAGUACACUAACACCAGACAGAGGACCAGGUGGAGAGGUGGAAUUAGAACCUUUACCGGGGCAGGAUGGAGUACACUAACACCAGACAGAGGACCAGGUGGAGAGGUGGAAUUAGAACCUGUACCGGGGCAGGAUGGAGUACACUAACACCAGACAGAGGACCAGGUGGAGAGGUGGAAUUAAAACCUUUACCGGGGCAGGAUG